rnacentral:rRNA from 1 species
AACCGGAUUAGAUACCCUGUUAGUUCCACGCCGUAAACGGAUGUCGACUUGGAGGUUGUUCCCUUGAGGAGUGGCUUCCGGAGCUAACGCGUUAAGUCGACCGCCUGGGGAGUACGGCCGCAAGGUUAAAACUCAAAUGAAUUGACGGGGGCCCGCACAAGCGGUGGAGCAUGUGGUUUAAUUCGAUGCAACGCGAAGAACCUUACCUACUCUUGACAUCCAGCGAACUUAGCAGAGAUGCUUUGGUGCCUUCGGGAACGCUGAGACAGGUGCUGCAUGGCUGUCGUCAGCUCGUGUUGUGAAAUGUUGGGUUAAGUCCCGCAACGAGCGCAACCCUUAUCCUUUGUUGCCAGCGAUUCGGUCGGGAACUCAAAGGAGACUGCCGGUGAUAAACCGGAGGAAGGUGGGGAUGACGUCAAGUCAUCAUGGCCCUUACGAGUAGGGCUACACACGUGCUACAAUGGCGCAUACAAAGAGAAGCGACCUCGCGAGAGCAAGCGGACCUCACAAAGUGCGUCGUAGUCCGGAUCGGAGUCUGCAACUCGACUCCGUGAAUU